CCUAAAUCAAAGAUCACACACUGACUUAAUAAACAGGUCCAGGAUGGUAGAAAUGAACAAAUGAAAUUGUUUGAGUAUAAGAAAAACCAAUGGUCACAAAAAAUGGGCUCAAUCUUUCUCUGUUUUUAUAGGAAAUGGAUUUCAAAGAGAGAAACUGGACUGUGACUAACAGCUAAUGUAAAUUCAAAGGGCUAAAUCUGAAUUCACUCCCUGUUAGUGAAAUAUGGUUCAAGAAACGUCAAGUAGGAAAAGAGCAGCAAAACAAAAGAGCAAAUCUACCUUGAUAGUGACUGGCAGGUGGAUGUCUACAAGUGUGGCACGGUAGAAGUCUAAACAAAGGGCCUGAGGGCCUGGGAUUUAGCUCGUGGUUGCGCCGCCUGCCCCGAAAG